UCUGGAGUAGUUCAAUUGGUAGAACGCUGCGCUGUUAACGCAGAAGUUGGGGGUUCAAGUCCCUCCUCCAGAGCCA
rnacentral:tRNA from 1 species